UACCAACAUCUGCUUUGGAAA
ensembl:piRNA 21ur-196 ncRNA